ACCAACGUUCAAAUCACACUGGGUGCGCCAGUUCUCGUCCGAUCACUGAAGCUAAGCAGUGUUGAGCGUGGUUAGUACUUGGAUGGGUGACCGCCUGGGAACACCACGUGCCGUUGGUU